rnacentral:rRNA from 1 species
GGAGGGGGCUAGCGUUGUUCGGAAUCAUUGGGCGUAAAGGGCGCGUAGGCGGCCGAUCAAGUCGGAGGUGAAAUCCCUCGGCUCAACUGAGGAAUUGCCUUCGAUACUGUUCGGCUUGAGUCCUGGAGAGGGUAGCGGAAUUCCCGGUGUAGCGGUGAAAUGCGUAGAGACCGGGAAGAACACCAGUGGCGAAGGCGGCUACCUGGACAGGUACUGACGCUGAAGCGCGAAAGCUAGGGGAGCAAACAGGAUUAGAUACCCUGGUAGUCCUAGCUGUAAACGAUGGGCACUUGGUGUUGCGGGGUAUUGAGUCCCUCGGUGCCGGAGUUAACACGUUAAGUGCCCCGCCUGGGGAGUACGGUCGCAAGACUG